UUUCCGUAGGUGAACCUGCGGAAGGAUCAUUCAUAAUAAAGUGUUUUAUGGCACUUUUUAAAAAUCCAUAUCCACCUUGUGUGCAAUGUUAGAUCUCGUCAAUCUUGGCGAGAUUUUUAUACAUCAACUCGUUCUUUAACUAAUUUGUCUGAAAAAUAUUAUGAAUACUUAAUUCAAAAUACAACUUUCAACAACGGAUCUCUUGGCUCUC
rnacentral:misc_RNA from 1 species